rnacentral:rRNA from 1 species
AGUGAACGCUGGCGGUAGGCCUAACACAUGCAAGUCGAACGAAAGCACAGUAAGAGCUUGCUCUUACGGGUGGCGACUGACGGACGGGUGAGGCGUACAUCGGCAUCUUCUAUUUCGGGGAGGAUAACGUAGGGAAACUGACGCUAAUACCGCAUACGACCUACGGCUGAAAGCAGUGGUUCUUCGGACCUUUGCCGUCUCUAAUAGACGAAGCCGGAUUAGCUAGUUGGUGUGGUAAAGGCCCACCAAGGCAACGAUACGUAGCUGGUCUGAGAGGAUGAUCGGCCACACUGGAACUGAGACACGGUCCAGACUCCUACGGGAGGCAGCAGUGGGGAAUAUUGGGCAAUGGGCGCAAGCCUGAUCCAGCCAUGCCGCGUGAGUGAAGAAGGUCUUCGGGUUGUAAAGCCCUGUUGUUGGGAAAGAAAAGCAGCAGAUUAAUCCCUCGCUGUUUUGACGGUACCCAAAGAAUAAGCACCGGCUAACUUCGUG